CUUGCAGUCCAAAAGUGAUAAACUACAUUUCAUCAUGACCAAUCUCCAGUGAAGCUGAGAGUAUAUGAGUCCGUCCAGGAGGUCAGCAGACAUCAGCCACAUGGAAAACUGGCUCAGGAAUCACUCAUGAAUCAUGUGAUCAAAGCCCUUAAGAAAUUGCCUGAUUUGAAUCUGUUGGUAUGAAUCUCAUUAAAUCUGUCAAGAAGGCCACA